rnacentral:misc_RNA from 1 species
AAGUCGUAACAAGGUUUCCGUAGGUGAACCUGCGGAAGGAUCAUUAACAAAGUUAAACCAAGAUGGGUUUUGUUUAUUCAAUUAAACCUUUUGUGAUUAUUUAUAAAAAUUUUAUACUUUUUUUUAAUAUCUAAAAAUAAUAAUAAAAAUUGAAACAACUUUCAACAACGGAUCUCUUGGCUCUC